rnacentral:rRNA from 1 species
ACGAAGGGUGCAAGCGUUAAUCGGAAUUACUGGGCGUAAAGGGUGCGUAGGCGGUUCGUUAAGUCUGUUGUGAAAUCCCCGGGCUCAACCUGGGAAUGGCAAUGGAUACUGGCGAGCUAGAGUGUGUCAGAGGAUGGUGGAAUUCCCGGUGUAGCGGUGAAAUGCGUAGAGAUCGGGAGGAACAUCCGUGGCGAAGGCAAUCCCCUGGGCCUGCACUGACGCUCAUGCACGAAAGCGUGGGGAGCAAACAGGA